rnacentral:rRNA from 1 species
ACGCACGCUGGCGGCGUGCUUAACCCAUGCAAGUCGAACGGAAAGGCCCUGCUUUUGUGGGGUGCUCGAGUGGCGAACGGGUGAGUAACACGUGAGUAACCUGCCCUUGACUUUGGGAUAACUUCAGGAAACUGGGGCUAAUACCGGAUAGGAGCUCCUGCUGCAUGGUGGGGGUUGGAAAGUUUCGGCGGUUGGGGAUGGACUCGCGGCUUAUCAGCUUGUUGGUGGGGUAGUGGCUUACCAAGGCUUUGACGGGUAGCCGGCCUGAGAGGGUGACCGGCCACAUUGGGACUGAGAUACGGCCCAGACUCCUACGGGAGGCAGCAGUGGGGAAUAUUGCACAAUGGGCGGAAGCCUGAUGCAGCAACGCCGCGUGCGGGAUGACGGCCUUCGGGCUGUAAACCGCUUUCGCCUGUGACGAAGCGUGAGUGACGGUAAUGGGUAAAGAAGCACCGGCUAACUACGUG